GACGAACGCUGGCGGCGUGCCUAAUACAUGCAAGUCGAGCGAAUCAAUAGGAGCUUGCUCCUGUUGGUUAGCGGCGGACGGGUGAGUAACACGUGGGCAACCUGCCUGUAAGACUGGGAUAACACCGGGAAACCGGUGCUAAUACCGGAUAAUCUUUUUCCUCUCAUGAGGAAAAACUGAAAGUCGGUUUCGGCUGACACUUACAGAUGGGCCCGCGGCGCAUUAGCUAGUUGGUGAGGUAACGGCUCACCAAGGCGACGAUGCGUAGCCGAACUGAGAGGGUGAGCGGCCAAACGGGGACGGAGACACGGCCCAGACUCCUACGGGAGGCAGCAGUAGGGAAUCUUCCACAAUGGACGAAAGUCUGAUGGAGCAACGCCGCGUGAGCGAUGAAGGCCUUCGGGUCGUAAAGCUCUGUUGUUAGGGAAGAACAAGUACCGGAGUAACUGCCGGUACCUUGACGGUACCUAACCAGAAAGCCACGGCUAACUACGUGCCAGCCGCCGCAGUAACAC
rnacentral:rRNA from 1 species